UACGUAGGGUGCAAGCGUUGUCCGGAAUUAUUGGGCGUAAAGAGCUCGUAGGCGGUUUGUCGCGUCUGCUGUGAAAACCCGGGGCUCAACUCCGGGCCUGCAGUCGAUACGGGCUGGCUUGAGUGCGGUAGGGGAGACUGGAAUUCCUGGUGUAGCGGUGAAAUGCGCAGAUAUCAGGAGGAACACCGGUGGCGAAGGCGGGUCUCUGGGCCGUAACUGACGCUGAGGAGCGAAAGCAUGGGGAGCGAACAGG
rnacentral:rRNA from 1 species